UACGAAGGGGGCUAGCGUUGCUCGGAAUCACUGGGCGUAAAGGGUGCGUAGGCGGGUCUUUAAGUCAGGGGUGAAAUCCUGGAGCUCAACUCCAGAACUGCCUUUGAUACUGAAGAUCUUGAGUUCGGGAGAGGUGAGUGGAACUGCGAGUGUAGAGGUGAAAUUCGUAGAUAUUCGCAAGAACACCAGUGGCGAAGGCGGCUCACUGGCCCGAUACUGACGCUGAGGCGCGAAGGCGCGGGGAGCGAACGGG
rnacentral:rRNA from 1 species